rnacentral:rRNA from 1 species
AUUGAACGCUGGCGGCAUGCUUUACACAUGCAAGUCGAACGGUAACAGGCCUUCGGGCGCUGACGAGUGGCGAACGGGUGAGUAAUGCAUCGGAACGUGCCCAGUCGUGGGGGAUAACUAUCCGAAAGGAUAGCUAAUACCGCAUACGAUCUGCGGAUGAAAGCGGGGGACCUUCGGGCCUCGCGCGAUUGGAGCGGCCGCUGUCAGAUUAGUUAGUUGGUGGGGUAAAGGCUCACCAAGCCAACGAUCUGUAGCUGGUCUGAGAGGACGACCAGCCACCCUGGGACUGAGACACGGCCCAGACUCCUACGGGAGGCAGCAGUGGGGAAGUUUGGACAAUGGGCGCAAGCCUGAUCCAGCAAUGCCGCGUGCAGGAAGAAGGCCUUCGGGUUGUAAACUGCUUUUGUACGGAACGAAACGGCUCUGGUUAAUACCCGGGGCUAAUGACGGUACCGUAAGAAUAAGCACCGGCUAACUACGUGCCAGCCGCCGCGGUAACAC